rnacentral:rRNA from 1 species
GGGUUGUGAGGUUAAGCGACUAAGCGUACACGGUGGAUGCCCUGGCAGUCAGAGGCGAUGAAGGACGUGCUAAUCUGCGAUAAGCGUCGGUAAGGUGAUAUGAACCGUUAUAACCGGCGAUUUCCGAAUGGGGAAACCCAGUGUGWUUCGWCACACUAUCAUUAACUGAAUCCAUAGGUUAAUGAGGCGAACCGGGGGAACUGAAACAUCUAAGUACCCCGAGGAAAAGAAAUCAACCGAGAUUCCCCCAGUAGCGGCGAGCGAACGGGGAGCAGCCCAGAGCCUGAAUCAGUGUGUGUGUUAGUGGAAGCGUCUGGAAAGGCGCGCGAUACAGGGUGACAGCCCCGUACACAAAAAUGCACAURCUGUGAGCUCGAUGAGUAGGGCGGGACACGUGGUAUCCUGUCUGAAUAUGGGGGGACCAUCCUCCAAGGCUAAAUACUCCUGACUGACCGAUAGUGAACCAGUACCGUGAGGGAAAGGCGAAAAGAACCCCGGCGAGGGGAGUGAAAAAGAACCUGAAACCGUGUACGUACAAGCAGUGGGAGCACGCUUAGGCGUGUGACUGCGUACCUUUUGUAUAAUGGGUCAGCGACUUAUAUUCUGUAGCAAGGUUAACCGAAUAGGGGAGCCGAAGGGAAACCGAGUCUUAACUGGGCGUUAAGUUGCAGGGUAUAGACCCGAAACCCGGUGAUCUAGCCAUGGGCAGGUUGAAGGUUGGGUAACACUAACUGGAGGACCGAACCGACUAAUGUUGAAAAAUUAGCGGAUGACUUGUGGCUGGGGGUGAAAGGCCAAUCAAACCGGGAGAUAGCUGGUUCUCCCCGAAAGCUAUUUAGGUAGCGCCUCGUGAAUUCAUCUCCGGGGGUAGAGCACUGUUUCGGCAAGGGGGUCAUCCCGACUUACCAACCCGAUGCAAACUGCGAAUACCGGAGAAUGUUAUCACGGGAGACACACGGCGGGUGCUAACGUCCGUCGUGAAGAGGGAAACAACCCAGACCGCCAGCUAAGGUCCCAAAGUCAUGGUUAAGUGGGAAACGAUGUGGGAAGGCCCAGACAGCCAGGAUGUUGGCUUAGAAGCAGCCAUCAUUUAAAGAAAGCGUAAUAGCUCACUGGUCGAGUCGGCCUGCGCGGAAGAUGUAACGGGGCUAAACCAUGCACCGAAGCUGCGGCAGCGAC